AAGUCGUAACAAGGUUUCCGUAGGUGAACCUGCGGAAGGAUCAUUAAAAAUAUAAUUAUAUAAAAUAUUAUAUAUAAAUAUUUUUAUUUAUAAUAAUAGAAAAAUAUAAAAAAUUUAUAUAAAUUUAUUUAUAUAAAAAUUUUAUAUUUUUCGGUGAGAAUGAUAACUCUCACCAUUAAAAAAUUAAUAGUGUCAUAAAAAAUUAUAAUAUAAAAUUUUUAAAAUUAAUAUUGUCUAUGAAUUAUUUUUAUUUAAUAAAUAAAAUAUAACUUUUAACAAUGGAUCUCUUGGCUCUUA
rnacentral:misc_RNA from 1 species